rnacentral:rRNA from 1 species
AUUGAACGCUGGCGGCAUGCCUUACACAUGCAAGUCGAACGGUAACAGGUCUUCGGAUGCUGACGAGUGGCGAACGGGUGAGUAAUACAUCGGAACGUGCCUAGUAGUGGGGGAUAACUACUCGAAAGAGUGGCUAAUACCGCAUGAGAUCUACGGAUGAAAGCAGGGGAUCGCAAGACCUUGUGCUACUAGAGCGGCCGAGGGCAGAUUAGGUAGUUGGUGGGAUAAAAGCUUACCAAGCCGACGAUCUGUAGCUGGUCUGAGAGGACGAUCAGCCACACUGGGACUGAGACACGGCCCAGACUCCUACGGGAGGCAGCAGUGGGGAAUUUUGGACAAUGGGCGAAAGCCUGAUCCAGCAAUGCCGCGUGCAGGAUGAAGGCCUUCGGGUUGUAAACUGCUUUUGUACGGAACGAAAAGCCCUGGGUUAAUACCCUGGGGUCAUGACGGUACCGUAAGAAUAAGCACCGGCUAGCUUCGUGCCAGCCGCCGCGGUAA